AUUCAGCAUGAAGCUUUUUGCCCUUGAACCACACUGCUUGUGAAUCUCAAGUGCUCAAGGACAAUCAAUUAUUUUAAGGAAGUUUCUAUGUUUACUGAACACUAUAUUGAAUCAUGUCAUCAUACUGACAUAGUUUAAUAGCGUAAAAGUGUGAUAAAAACCAUUAUGUUUCGAUCUCGUCGGAAUCCUCAGAUCCGAUAUUCCACCAUCGAAGCCCGAUUAACCGGAGUUUCAUUCAGUGGUUGGAUCAAAUUCUCUUUUACCCACAAACCCAUUUCACUUCCUUCGAUUUUUUUAUUAAAUUUUGAAAGGGUAAAAACAAUUUGAUUUUUUUUUUUUCAGGAUUUGAUUUCGAUAUUGAAGUUGGAUCAGCUUUGUAGCAAUUUUCAAAUAUGGGAAGCUAAGACCAUAAGGGUUAUUGUUUUUCUCUUCAUUCAUGUGUUUCAACUUUUUCAAAUAUGGCAGAGGUGGCCAUCGGUGUUGUUGAAUUUGGUGGUGGUGGUGAUGGUGAAAAGAGCAAGAUGAUAGAGAAGUUGAAGACAGUGAGAAAAAUAUAAUGUAGGCAGACUAUAAUAAAGAUCAAUGGUCCUCUCUAAUCUAAUGGUUAACAUUUAUUUCCUCUAACUUGUGUAUGGUGCACAAAUUUAAUGUUUGUGCACCCUAAA
rnacentral:lncRNA from 1 species